UUUUUUUCUUUCCCCAGAACCCAUUCACUAUUCAAUAACUAGAUUUUUGCUUUCUGGUUGACACGACUCUUGUUUAAACACAAAAAGCAGGCUAAAAUGAUUUGCCUAAUUUCUACAAUGUUAUAGUUAUUGUGCCCAAAACCACCUGGAAAAGACUAUGUACAUUCUUUUUUUAAUGAAUCUUUGGCAUUAUGUAAUUAUGAGGAGAAAUUAAAUAAAAAAGUAUAGAAAUCCCAGUUUAGUGCUCUUGCUACUAGAAUUCAGAAACAAUUUUUCUACUAUUUCUGAUCUUUGUUAAUGAUGGUUUAAAAGUGCCUUAUAAAAUAUAUUUUUUCAAAAUACCACUUUUGAAAGGUAUAAAAUAUGCCUUAUAUACAGAGUUUUUAUCUAUUGUGGCUCAUUUACUCAGUGAGGUGAGCUCAAACCCCUUGCAGGAGACGUAUAUUGUUGCUGUUGCUAUCUUUGAGGGCUCUAAUAACCACUUCUGCUUGGGGGUUCAUGUCAUAAAAAUGGUCAUUUAAUGAGAAUCAGAAAGUUCCACUGGCUAAGGAGCAGUUUUAGUAAAUUCUGUUAUUUCUAAUUGCUUCUAGUUGAUCCAUAACCUUUUGAAUAUUUCCUCUAGCACACAACUGCACGUGGCUCUCUCAAGUUUUGGUGCAACCCAAAUUCUCAACUUACUUAUCUGCUCUUCCAAGAUCUGCUUCUGGUGCAAGGGACAACUGUGGCAUAAUGGCAAGAGCACUAAAUAUGGUCAAAGGAGACAUAGGUUGAAUACCGUCUUGUGUAUAACAUUAGCUAGAAUUGAAUUCAGCUGCAAGUGUUCGAAAACCACCAAAAUAAGAGUGGUUUUAUUAUGUAAGAUCUUAUUCUUGCUACGAAAGAAGUCUUAAUGCACGAGUGGGCUGGUAAGGUGCUUUAUGAAGUUGUUUCUGACAUCCCUAGGACAAGACCCUCAUCCUUAUGUCCCAAGAAAGUGUUUGUGCACCAGUGAU
rnacentral:lncRNA from 1 species